CCCUUCCACUUCAUAAAAGCAAUACGUCAUGUUUUAGCUGAGGCUUUACUUUCAGUCUCAUCUUUAUUUUCUUUGUUGAUAUGUAAUUCUUCUACAGUUUAUGUUUACUAUUUCUCAAGGGUUACUUUUCUUCUUUAGAGACAACAUUCUGUAGUUCUUUGUUUAGACUGGUGGAUUCAGUUUCAAUGAUUUUUAGCAUCUGAAAACCUGUGAUUAAGAAUUAAGGGCUCCUUUUCUCAACCACUCACUCUUUUGACAUUAAUGAAGUGUUUACUAGUUGAUUGAUGGUUAAACAUAUUUUCAAGUGAUUAUUUUUUCUGAAGGGUUUCAUGAUUAUUUUCUGUCAUGUCUCAGUAUUUGUGUUACUGUACCUCAGUACAGUUCAUAGCCUACUUCUUUUGGUCUCUUUUUACUAUAGAAAAACUGUUAAUUAGCUUUUUUAAUUAGGUGAUUAAGUUACUACAAAGGUUCUCUGGACUGGUUGAGUUUUUGGAUUAAAAGCUCCCUUUAGGUGGCUCCAGGAGCUUAAUGUGUUGACCACUAGCUGAUCAUUCCCUGGUGUUGAUCCUAUGUAUUUUACUACAUGAUGAAAGGAGCUCUGAUGACUUCCAGAAGAUGGCUGCAGCCUAGGCCCAUGAAAGUCAAGGAGUUGUGAAAGAGACCAUACAUGUUCAAGCUUAAUAAUGUGCUAAUAAAAGACAAGUGGUAGCAACAGAAGAUGACCAGCUGUCCAAAGGACCACUGAUGUCACUACUUUUUGACCACCCUCAGCCUUUUUAUUAAGGGUGAGAAGAUGGACCCAGUAAUGUUUCCUUGGAGUUUGUGAAGCAGAGAUCUUUCUUUUGAUUAUUGUCGACUUUGCAUUUUUCUGGUUAAUUCAGAAUUUCUGCAGUUUAUUGGAUUUUGCUUUUGGAUUGUAGAUUUUGACUUUUUUGCCAUGGAUUGCCUUUUUAGGGAACUAUUUUUGCAU